UUGAAGAAGGCAGUGUGAAGGAGUUGAAGCAGAGUGGUUUGGUGUUGGAGUGGAGGGCAGUCUGGAGAAGUGCUGUGGCAGGCCAGAAGACCAAGACCCUAGGUAAAGGGAAAGCCGGCUUGUGCAGAGCAGAGGGACUCUACAGACACAAAGGGUUGGGAGAAACUUGGCCCAAGCAGAGAGAGGGCAGGAAGCCCCACAAGCUGAGG